AUUGCGUUUAAAUGCAUAAAAUAUAUUUUGAGCAUCAAUUUUAAUGCUCCUUUGUUUUGAGCUUAAGUGGCCGCCAUUUUGAAAUCGUCCAUUUUCAAAAAAAAACACGUUAAGCUGAUUUUCUUCGUAUCUAAUAAGACGUGAAGUCGGCUGCACAUUAUUAAUGACUCACGCAUUUCGUGUCCCAACUAUGCGUGCUUUCGGAACUCAGCGGAGACACCAACCAGUAAGGCAUUAAUGUCUAGGCGCAGAAUCAGUUAUGCUGUGGCGGUCAGACGAUUCGAGUGCCGUCUCGAUUAUCUAUAGACUUCUAUCGAUACUUCGUGUCGUGUAGCGCUGCCAGAUGUUGCUUCUGCGUGAAAAUCGCGUCGCGUCGCAAUAUUGUUGCAAUUAACAUUAAAAGUAAUUAAUAGUACACAAAAAAUAUCUAAAGUAAUGCAGAAGAGUGUCAAAUCGAACGGGCUCUGGGGCAGCGAGUAAAGGCCAACUGGAAAUUGAGCUGCUGCGGCUGUUGUGUAUGUGUUGUGAGUUGAAAUAUACGCAGUAACUGGCUAAAUCCAAGAGGAAAACGCUACGCGCCUAGCUUAAAACG